UCUUUAUUAUAUUAUUAUAAUUGAUUUUUUUUUGAGACAGGGUCUUGUGUAGCCCAGACUGACCUCAAACUCACUAUGUGGCUGAAGAUGACCUCAAACUCCUGAUUCUUGGCCUUACCCUCCCAAGUGCUAAGAUUAUAAGCGUGUGCCAACAUGACUAGUUUAUUCAUAUAAGGAUUAAAUGUAGGGCUUCAUGCAUACUAGGCAAGCUCUCUGUCAACUGAGCUACCUCCCUAGCCCCUACAAUUGACAACUAACAUGGCAGCUAACAUUCAACUGAAACAAAAUUCUUCAGUCCCAUUAUUUACAUAUAACCAGUACUGACUUCCAGCAGGUAAAACCUCUCCCUAUCAGAUCAUACAUAGACUGUUUUCAAAAUAUUUUCUAAUCCAAUUUUCACAGAUUCGUGAAAGGCUCAAGAGCUUUAACAUACUGUAAAUACUCUUAAAUCAAUCCCUCAUACCCAGAAGAGUAUCUGGAAGACAUAGGAAUUCCUAGCCUGGUGGGUUUUGAUUUUUGACUUGGUGUUGAUUGAACCCAAGUUUUCAUGUUCACAAAGCCUGUAAUGCCCCUUAUCUAUCUCUAGACUGUAUUUGCAGCUCACUCACUUUAUUAUACAUUACCCAAGGCAUAGCAUUUCAAUCUGAAAACAACUUCUCCUUUCCCCUGGGUAAGGAAAAAAUCCUCUUACACAUUUCUGUAUUAAACGACACUGCAGAGCCCAACAGUAAGACAGGUUCCUAUCUGAAAACAUCUGCACUGGAGAUCUCAAGCUAACAGGAGGCCUGAGGUGAUGUGUGAUGUAUGCACUAGUGCACCAGAGGCCUGAGGUGAUGUGUGCGCUAGUGCACCAGAGGCCUGAGGUGAUGUGUGAUGUAUGCACUAGUGCACCAGAGGCCCGAGGUGAUGUGUGCGCUAGUGCACCAGAGGCCCAAGGUGAUGUGUGCACUAGUGUACCAGAGGCCUGAGGUGAUGUGUGCGCUAGUGUACCAGUGUUCACUGGCAGUAGAGGACAGGGCUGAAUUGUCCUGGGACCUUUUAAUCCCACCCAAGCCCAACCUCUCUUAGGGUUGGCAUUGUUUUGAGGAGGCUUGAAGAGAAAAUGAGUAAGAGUUUGCAACUUGAGGUUGUAUAAGCAGAUUGGAGUUCAGCUAAUGUUUCUAUUUAAGGUCUCUAAUAAACAGUGCAUUUUAUAAAUCUUUGAAGUGCUCCCCAUCCCUUUUGGUGACAGGGUCUUGCUACAUGAGACAGGUUAUCCUUGAUCCUCCUGUCUCAAGUAUCCUUUGUUGGUUUUCCCCUCAUACAUCUUUACUGUGUGUGAAUACACAUACACAUGUCCUUGUGUGUAUAGAGGUCAGAGGAUGACAACUUGAGAGAGCUGGUGUUCACAUGGUUCUGGGGACCGAACUCAGGUCUUUAAGUUUGGUGAUAAGCGCUGUAACCUGGUGAACUACUUCAUGAGCCCUAAAGUGCCUGGCCUUAAAAUAAUCCUCCAGUUCCUUGUCCCCACAGGAGGAAAAAAAAAUCACCACUUGUUUUCUUUCACUCUUAAAACUGC
ensembl:lncRNA